rnacentral:tRNA from 1 species
CGGGGUGUAGCGCAGCUCGGUAGCGCAUCUGGUUUGGGAUCAGGCGGUCGCAGGUUCGAAUCCUGUCACCCCGAC